AGGCAGCGCCCCACAGAAGCUUGCUUCGUGGCGGGCUACCCUACUUCGGUAGGGUUUAGAGUCGUCGAACCUCUCGGAGAAGUUCGGUCCUGAACUCCACCCUUGAAUAAAUUACCUUUGUUGCUUUGGCGGGCCGCCUAGUGCCAGCGGCUUCGGCUGUUGAGUGCCCGCCAGAGGACCACAACUCUUGUUUUUUGUGAUGUCUGAGUACUAUAUAAUAGUUAAAACUUUCAACAACGGAUCUCUUGGUUCUGGCAUCGAUGAAGAACGCAGCGAAAUGCGAUAAGUAAUGUGAAUUGCAGAAUUCAGUGAAUCAUCGAAUCUUUGAACGCACAUUGCGCCCUCUGGUAUUCCGGGGGGCAUGCCUGUUCGAGCGUCAUUAUAACCACUCAAGCUCUCGCUUGGUAUUGGGGCUCGCGGUUCCGCGGCCCCUAAAAUCAGUGGCGGUGCCUGUCGGCUCUACGCGUAGUAAUACUCCUCGCGAUUGAGUCCGGUAGGUCUACUUGCCAGCAACCCCCAAUUUUUACAGGUUGACCUCGGAUCAGGUAGGGAUACCCGCUGAACUUAAGCAUAUCUAA
rnacentral:rRNA from 1 species